UGACUUUUUGAAGCGAAUUUUUAUGCUUUAGAUCAGUGAUGCCCAAAACAGCGCCCGCGGGCGGAACUCUUCAAAGCUCUCUGUAGAUUUUAUAUCUUUCAUGGGCACUGCCUUGCCCGCGGGCAAAGUUCUUUUAAGCUUUCUACACAUUUUACAUAGCCGCGCGUAGAGUAAAAGCUCUCUAUGCCCAUCGCUGUUUUAUAUGGACGCGCA